AGCAGUAGGCCUGUUCACUUCAAACAGUUUCUCAUUUAUCCUCUUCAUGUGCGUAGGCAUGAUUCAGAGGUUACUUACAGGACGCACAUUCUCCAGUCAACUUUGUUUUUUUAUAGAUCACAACCUUUGCUUGGGAAGUGGCGUCCGCACGUUUCCAGUCCUGUUUAUAUACUGUUUAUAAAUGAGACCCCUGGUCCUGUGGAGUCCUUCUGAAAUGUAAACCUUUUCCUCUCCGUUCUGGUUUUUAGACCCUGAUGUGGUCCAGGUGAACGCUGGAGAUGACGCCACUCUGCCCUGUCAGGUUCACAGGGCCCCCAUCAGAGCCGUAGAGUGGACCAGAACCGACCCGGAGUCUCCGGUCCUCUUCUUCAGAGAUGGACACACAGACACCCCGUUUAAAGGCCGGGUCCAGCUGCUGGACCGGGACCUGAAGGACGGAGACGUGUCUUUAAUUCUGAAGAACGUGAGCAGCAGCGACGCCGGGACGUACGAGUGUCGAGUCGCAGCAGGUAGAUCCAGAUCUAAGAGGGCCCUCAUUGAGGAGCCUCCCAUCAGAAGGAUCCGCCUGGAGGUUCCAGACCCAGGUCCCAGGUCUGGAGACACCGAGGACGCGGACUACAGGCUGUAUGCUGGACUCGGAGCAGCUUUGGGACUGGCUGCUUUAGCUGGUGUAGGAGUGCUGAUCUGCAAGCGUAGAAGACAGACGGCCAGGGAACCAGAAGCGUCUCCUGAUGCAGCAGUGAGCGAUCAGCUCCUCUAAAGUUUAGUAACAGAGCGGACCGGCUGCCUGCUUUUAUCAACAAAACACAAACCUUUCUGCACUGUGACAUAUUUUCAUCAUUUAGAAACUAAAAUAAGCUUCGGUCAAAUCUAAGACCUGCUUUUAUUUUCUUUUUCCUCUUAUAAUAUAUAUAUAAUAAUAUUUUUACCAUGUAAAUGUUGUUCUGUUUCUUUUUGUAUUUAAAUGUCUGUUUUUAGA